rnacentral:rRNA from 1 species
UUAUGGUUUGAUCCUGGCUCAGGAUGAACGCUAGCGGCAGGCUUAAUACAUGCAAGUCGAGGGGUAACAGGGUUUUCGGACCGCUGACGACCGGCGCACGGGUGCGUAACACGUAUGCAACCUACCUUUAACAGGAGAAUAGCCCCGAGAAAUCGGAAUUAAUACUCCAUAACAUUAUUUUUUGGCAUCAAGAGAUGAUUAAAGCUUCGGCGGUUAAAGAUGGGCAUGCGCGACAUUAGUUAGUUGGUAAGGUAACGGCUUACCAAGACAAAGAUGUCUAGGGGUUCUGAGAGGAUGAUCCCCCACACUGGUACUGAGACACGGACCAGACUCCUACGGGAGGCAGCAGUAAGGRAUAUUGGGCAAUGGACGSAAGUCUGACCCAGCCAUGCCGCGUGCAGGGUGACAGCCUUAUGGGKUGUAAACUGCUUUUAUAUGGGAAAAAACCCCCGAACGGGUUCGGGGCUGAUUGUACCAUAGGGAUAAGGRUCGGCUAACUCCGKGCCAGCAGCCGSGGUAAUACGGGGGAUCCRRGCGUUAUCCGGAUUUAUUGGGUUUAAAGGGUGCGCAGGCGGGGCGAUAAGUCAGUGGUGGAAUCCUACAGCUURACURUGGGRCUGCCAWUGRAAMUAUCAAUCWUGGRUACARAUGAAAUGGGCGGAAUAWAAWAUAWAGCGGUGAAAUSCUUAGAUAUAACACAGAACACCGAUUGCGAAGGCAGCUCACUAAGCUGCAACUGMCGCUCAUGCACGAAACCGUGGGGAGCAAACAGGAUUAGAUACCCUGGUAGYCCACSCCGUAAACGAUGAUUACCCGAUGUUGGCGAUAAACAGUCASCGUCCAAGCGAAAGUGAUAAGUAACCCACCUGGGGAGUACGAUCGCAAGGUUGAAACUCAAAGGAAUUGACGGGGGCCCGCACAAGCGGAGGAGCAUGUGGUUUAAUUCGAUGAUACGCGAGGAACCUUMCCUAGACUUAAAUGUAGAUUGACCSCUUAUGAAAAUAAGUUUCUCUCACGAGCAAUUUACAAGGUGCUGCAUGGUUGUCGUCAGCUCGUGCCGUGAGGUGUCGGGUUAAGUCCCAUAACGAGCGCAACCCCUAUCAUUAGUUGCCAUCAGGUUAAGCUGGGGACUCUAAUGAAACUGCCUACGCAAGUAGUGAGGAAGGUGGGGAUGACGUCAAAUCAGCACGGCCCUUAUGUCUAGGGCUACACACGUGCUACAAUGGUCGAUACAAAGGGUCGCUACCUGGUGACAGGAUGCUAAUCUCAAAAGUCGAUCUCAGUUCGGAUCGAAGUCUGCAACUCGACUYCGUGAAGUUGGAUUCGCUAGUAAYCGUAGAUCAGCAAUGCUACGGUGAAUACGUUCCCGGGCCUUGUACACACCGCCCGUCAAGCCAUGGAAGUUGGGAGUACCUGAAGUCAGUGACCGCAAGGAGCUGCCUAGGGUAAAAUCAAUGACUGGGGCUAASCGUAACAAGGUAGCCGAAGGCGAAUCUSAGAUACCAUCACACUGCGCCCGCGACAUC